rnacentral:snoRNA from 1 species
AUUCACCAGUGUCCUUCCCCAUCAGAUCUGAACACUGGUCUAAGUGGUUACAAAAGAAGGAAAAUGAACAUUAAAACGGACUUCAGUGCUUUUGUAAUACGUGAGAAAGUUCCAAAUAUGU